rnacentral:rRNA from 1 species
UACAUGGGGUGCAAACGUUGCUCGGAAUUAUUGGGCGUAAAGCGCGCGUAGGCGGUUACUUAAGUCGGAUGUGAAAGCCCUCGGCUUAACUGAGGAAGUGCACCCGAAACUGAGUAGCUAGAGUACGAAAGAGGGUCGCGGAAUUCCCGGUGUAGAGGUGAAAUUCGUAGAUAUCGGGAGGAACACCAGUGGCGAAGGCGGCGACCUGGGUCGAGACUGACGCUGAGGCGCGAAAGCGUGGGGAGCAAACAGG